GAUGAAGAACGUAGUGAAAUGCGAUAAGUAAUGCGAAUUGCAGAAUUUCCGUGAGUCAUCGAAUCUUUGAACGCACAUUGCGCCCACUGGUAUUCCGGUGGGCAUGCCUGUUCAAGCGUCAUUAUCCUCCCUCAAACCCCGGGUUUGGUGUUGGACCCAAGUUGUGUGAACAACUGGUCUCAAAGACAAUGACGGCGUCCGUGGGACCCUCGGUGCAACGAGCUUUUAGGAGCACGCAUCGAGUUGCAAGGACCUUCCGGGCCGGUCUCCUUUACCAUUUUACAAGGUUGACCUCGGAUCAGGUAGGAAUACCCGCUGAACUUAAGCAUAUCAAUAAGCGGAGGA
rnacentral:misc_RNA from 1 species